CUUGGCUACUAGAUGCUCUUGAAGCAGGGUUAUAAGUCCCUUUAAAAUCACGUAGGCCUGUUCGAGGGUCAGUUGUUAUUUCAAACCGAGUAGGCUUUCGUCUCUUUCUCCUCAUAGGCUUUGACAACGGACUUUGGGCUAAAAGAUCGUUCACGCGCCGUAAAGCGUCAUCUGUUGAAGGUUUAUUCUUCUUCCCUAAACGCAAAGGCAAUGCCAUUAUUCCCCCCGAAAAGGCGACUUUCUAUGCAACUCUCACUCGUCAGCCAUGUUGAAUAGGAAUCAUUACCAUGUGGUGCGCACAUGAUACUAAUUGUUAC
rnacentral:lncRNA from 1 species